rnacentral:rRNA from 1 species
UACGUAGGUGGCAAGCGUUGUCCGGAUUUAUUGGGUUUAAAGGGUGCGUAGGCGGCUUUGUAAGUCAGUGGUGAAAGCCUGUAGCUUAACUAUAGAAUUGCCAUUGAAACUGAAAGUCUUGAGUACAGUUGAGGUGAGCGGAAUGUAUCAUGUAGCGGUGAAAUGCUUAGAUAUGAUACAGAACACCGAUUGCGAAGGCAGCUCACUAAACUGCAACUGACACUGAGGCACGAAAGCGUGGGGAUCAAACAGG